rnacentral:rRNA from 1 species
UACGUAGGGUGCGAGCGUUGUCCGGAAUUACUGGGCGUAAAGAGCUCGUAGGCGGCUUGUCGCGUCGACUGUGAAAACCCGCGGCUCAACUGCGGGCUUGCAGUCGAUACGGGCAGGCUAGAGUGCGGUAGGGGAGACUGGAAUUCCUGGUGUAGCGGUGAAAUGCGCAGAUAUCAGGAGGAACACCGGUGGCGAAGGCGGGUCUCUGGGCCGUAACUGACGCUGAGGAGCGAAAGCAUGGGGAGCGAACAGG